rnacentral:misc_RNA from 1 species
UCUCCGUUGGUGAACCAGCGGAGGGAUCAUUACCGAGUUUACAACUCCCAAACCCAAUGUGAACCAUACCAAACUGUUGCCUCGGCGGGGUCACGCCCGGGGUGCGUCGCAGCCCCGGAACCAGGCGCCCGCCGGAGGGACCAACCAAACUCUUUCUGUAGUCCCCUCGCGGACGUUAUUUUUACAGCUCUGAGCAAAAAUUCAAAAUGAAUCAAAACUUUCAACAACGGAUCUCUUGGUUCUG